GCUAAACGCGAAGAACCUUACCACCUUUUGACAUGCCCGGACCACCAGAGAGAUCUGGCUUUCCCUUCGGGGACUGGGACACAGGUGCUGCAUGGCUGUCGUCAGCUCGUGUCGUGAGAUGUUGGGUUAAGUCCCGCAACGAGCGCAACCCUUAUUAACAGUUGCCAUCAUUAAGUUGGGCACUCUGUUGAGACCGCCGGUGAUAAAUCGGAGGAAGGUGGGGACGAUGUCAAGUCAUCAUGGCCUUUAUGCUUAGGGCUACACACGUGCUACAAUGGACGGUACAAAACGUCGCGAUCCCGCGAGGGGGAGCUAAUCGCAAAAACCGUUCUCAGUUCGGAUUGAAGUCUGCAACUCGACUUCAUGAAGUUGGAAUCGCUAGUAAUCGCGAAUCAGAAUGUCGCGGUGAAUACGUUCCCGGGUCUUGUACACACCG
rnacentral:rRNA from 1 species